rnacentral:rRNA from 1 species
ACGCUCGACACCUACGGGAGGUAGCAGUGGGGAAUAUUGCACAAUGGGGGAAACCCUGAUGCAGCGACGCCGCGUGGAGGAAGAAGGUCUUCGGAUUGUAAACUCCUGUUGUUGGGGAAAAAGAGGAUGGUACCCAACAAGGAAGUGACGGCUAACUACGUGCCAGCAGUCGCGGUAAUCUGAGCGGGCUGGCAAGGC